GGCAAUUGAACAAAGCAAGUUCCGUUCUUCUAAAAAACUGCAUUUGGAAGCUUCAAACCAAUAAUAAUGGAGACUCAAAAUAUUUAAACUUAAAUCUGCUUCAAGGAGAGAGAGGCGUGCUUUAAGGAGAGAAAGGCAAGGCUAGUGCAUCUGGGACAAAUUGCCAAGGUAAAGUAAGUCAUGAAAAUAAAAGGCACCGUUAGAAUAACCACUAACGGAAAAAGUCACCACUAAUAUAAUUCAUAUGUGGAAAAAGGGACACCACCAAAAUGAUUUGUCGGUGGGAAUAAAAGCCAUUGUUAUAAUAUAUUAGUAAGAACUAAAUUGCAUGACAAACACCGAAGAAGAAGCAGCGCGACUCUAACGAAACAAAGUCAUGAUCAAUCAACGUAAUAAGAAAAUGCGUCCAAAACAGGAGAGAUAAUGGCUGUUUGAACAAUGACACAUAUUUUCGCUGAUCAAAAUUGGAGAGUAAGGACAGAUCUGGAACCAUCGAAGAGAGAAUAAUCGUGCACCAAGAAGAAUCCCAUCAAUUGAAUUGCAAAUCUUAUAUAUGAAUCUUUAUCAAUAGAGCCAAGAAGAAAUAUGUUAAUAGAGAAUUGCUAUAAAUAUAGCCUAGCCAGAUAGUCUGAUUGAUCAUCAGCCUGAGAGAAAUUCAUGGCAGACAAUUGAACAAAGCAAGUUUCGUUCUUCUAAAAAACUGCAUUUGGAAGCUUCAAACCAAUAAUAAUGGAGACUCAAAAUAUUUAAACUUAAAUCUGCUUCAAGGAGAGAGAGGCGUGCUUUAAGGAGAGAAAGGCAAGGCUAGUGCAUCUGGGACAAAUUGCCAAGGUAAAGUAAGUCAUGAAAAUAAAAGGCACCGUUAGAAUAACCACUAACGGAAAAAGUCAUCACUAAUAUAAUUCAUAUGUGGAAAAAGGGACACCACCGAAAUGAUCGUCGGUGGGAAUAAAAGCCACUUUUAUAAUAUAUUAGUAAGAACUAAAUUGC
rnacentral:lncRNA from 1 species